rnacentral:piRNA from 1 species
UGCUAUGGCUGUCAGAGGACAGCUUUGUGGAAUAAGCUG